CGACCGGCGCACGGGUGAGUAACACGUAUCCAACCUGCCGUCUACUCUUGGACAGCCUUCUGAAAGGAAGAUUAAUACAAGAUGGCAUCAUGAGUCCGCAUGUUCACAUGAUUAAAGGUAUUCCGGUAGACGAUGGGGAUGCGUUCCAUUAGAUAGUAGGCGGGGUAACGGCCCACCUAGUCUUCGAUGGAUAGGGGUUCUGAGAGGAAGGUCCCCCACGUUGGAACUGAGACACGGUCCAA
rnacentral:rRNA from 1 species